rnacentral:misc_RNA from 1 species
GUUAACUUACACGUAUUUUACAAAUUUGUUAGCCAAGAUAAAGGAAAUAAGGAAUGAUGAAAAGUGGAAACAAAAGAAAGGAAAAAGAAAUCCAAGAAAACAAAAGGUACAGGGGAGAGCCAGACAAAGGAAAAAUACUGUGGAAGCCAGAGAAAGAAAGAAAAAUGCAAAUAAAGGAUAUGGGAGCUGUAGGUGUUGCCUGUAGAGGAAGAGAAGGGGAUAUUAAUAGUAGGAGCAGAGAGAGAACAGAGGAGUAGUUUCUCUCUCUCUCGAGCUCAUUCUUACAUGCCCACCAGGAAAACCCACUGAAGCCACUAAUCAUCAUGAAACACCCUCUGCAACCAGCACUCUCAAAAAGUAUUAUCUCUCUCCAUCAAAACCUUCCUUCCCUUAAAUUUACCUCUCUUAACAUCACAUAUCUCUCAACCAGAAUCCCCACAUCCCCAUAACCAUGAAACCUCCUUUCCUUUUCCGUCUAACAUUUUCCUUCUUCUACUUACUUCAAACAUUCCUACUAGUCCUCUCUGCCACAGCUCUGCCUCUUCAACUCCGCGCUCUACUUUCCCUCAAAUUAUCCCUCCGAGAUCCUCUUGAUACCUUCCAUGACUGGGAUCCCACCCGACCAUCUUCCAAGCCUAGUUUCCGAGGCCCAGUUUGGUGUUCCUGGUCUGGCAUCAAAUGCGACCCUGGAACUGCUCAAAUCAUAACGCUUGAUCUCUCUUGCCGAAGUCUUUCUGGUGUGAUUCCUGAUGAAAUCCGGCACUUAAACAGCUUAAUUCACUUGAAUUUGAGCUUAAAUGCUUUUAUGGGGCCUCUACAACCAGUCAUCUUUGAACUGACUGAGCUCAGAACUAUUGAUAUCAGCCACAACAAUUUCAAUUCCACAUUUCCACCUGGGAUUUCCAAGCUCAAGUCCCUAAGAGUCUUCCAUGCAUACAGCAACAAUUUCACCGGUCCAUUGCCAAAAGAGUUCAGCUCGCUUCGCUUCUUGGAGCGGCUCAACCUCACCGGAAGCUUUUUUCAAGGAGAGAUUCCCACGGAAUAUGGUAGUUUUCCAAGAUUGAAGUUUCUGGGCUUAGCUGGAAAUUUGUUAGAAGGGCCCGUCCCACCCCAAUUAGGAUCCUUGAGCCAGCUUGAGCGGAUGGAGAUUGGAUACAACAGUAUGUUAACAGGAAAAGUACCAGAGGAGCUUGCAUUGUUAUCCAAUCUCCAGUACCUGGAUAUCUCAGGAUGUUCUCUCUCGGGUAAUCUCACACAGGAACUUGGAAAUCUAACGAAACUCGAAAUGCUGUUACUUUUCCAAAACCAGUUUACUGGUGAAAUCCCUGUGAGUUUUACAAAUUUAAAAGCUCUGAAGGUUCUUGAUUUGUCUGAUAAUCGACUUACGGGCAAGAUUCCAGUAGAAAUUUCUUCUUUGAAAGAGCUAACAAGAGUGAGCUUGAUGAAAAAUCAAUUCAGUGGCGAAAUACCGGAAGGAAUUGGUGAGCUGCCAAAUCUUAACGCUCUGUAUCUCUGGAACAACUCUCUCACGGGAAUUCUCCCGCAAAAACUCGGCUCGAACUGCAAGUUACAGUGGCUGGACGUGUCCUCCAACUCUCUACAUGGUCCAAUCCCUCCAAGUCUUUGUCAAGGAAACAAGCUAUUAAAGCUCAUACUCUUCUCCAACAAGUUUAUUGGAGGUCUGCCAGAAUCGCUAGCAAACUGUACGUCUUUGUGCAGGGUCCGAAUCCAAGACAAUCAACUUAACGGUUCAAUCCCAUACGGCUUCGGGCACUUGCGGAAUCUAACCUACAUGGACCUGAGCAAGAAUAGCCUCUCGGGCGAAAUUCCUCACGACCUUGGCAAUGCACCGCAGCUACAGUACUUAAACAUCUCCGAGAACUCUUUGCACAGCAAAUUGCCAAGUAACAUAUGGAGCGCACCGAAUUUACAAAUAUUUUCGGCCAGUUCAAGUAAACUCACCGGAAAAAUCCCUGAUUUUAUCGGGUGUAGCAGCGUGUAUAAGAUCGAAUUGCAGGAUAAUUCGUUCAACGGUGGCAUUCCUUGGGACAUUGGACACUGCGAGAAGCUUAUUAACUUGAAUUUGAGCCGCAAUUCCCUCACCGGCAUAAUCCCGUGGGAAAUUUCUACGCUUCCAGCGAUCACUGAUGUCGACAUUUCUUAUAACUUUCUCACGGGCUCAAUCCCUUCAAAUUUCGAGAACUGCACCACUUUAGAGAACUUCAAUGUGUCCUAUAAUCGUUUAAGGGGACCAAUUCCGGGCUCUGGUAUAUUUCCAAACUUGCAUCCGUCGUCCUUUUUAGGCAACGACGGGAUCUGCGGCCGCAUUUUAGCCAAGCCUUGCGCAGCAGACACGCUAUCAGUCGGCGAGGUCGAAGUCCACAGGCGGCAGCAGCCGAAGAAGACCGCAGGGGCGAUCGUAUGGAUCAUGGCUGCCGCGUUUGGUAUUGGGCUAUUCGUGCUGGUUGCCGGAACCAGGUGCUUCCACGCCAAGUAUAACCGCAAGUUCAACAACGAUCGCGAGAUCGGACCGUGGAAAUUAACGGCAUUCCAACGUUUGAAUUUCACGGCUGACGAUGUGCUGGAGUGCUUGUCCAUGACCGAUAAGAUUAUAGGAAUGGGAUCAACUGGCACAGUGUACAAGGCUGAGAUGCCAGGUGGCGAGAUCAUAGCGGUCAAAAAGCUGUGGGGCAAGCACAAGGAAAAUAUCCGACGGAGGAGAGGGGUUCUAGCAGAGGUGGAUGUAUUGGGGAAUGUGAGGCAUAGGAAUAUAGUGAGAUUGUUAGGGUGCUGCAGCAACAGGGAGUGCACUAUGCUUCUUUACGAGUACAUGCCAAAUGGAAAUUUAGAAGAUCUAUUGCAUGGAAAAAAUAAGGGAGAAAAUCUAGUGGCUGACUGGUUUACAAGGCACAAGAUUGCUCUUGGGGUGGCUCAGGGGAUAUGUUAUCUCCACCAUGACUGUGAUCCUGUGAUAGUACAUCGUGAUCUAAAGCCUAGUAACAUUCUAUUGGACGGUGAGAUGGAGGCUAGAGUGGCAGAUUUUGGUGUGGCCAAGUUGAUACAAAGCGACGAGUCCAUGUCUGUAAUUGCCGGAUCUUAUGGUUACAUUGCUCCAGGUGAGUUGUUUGCUUUCUUUCUUAUUAUUAUCACAGGUUUACAUCUUGCAAUUGUGCAUAUAUUUUCCUUGUCUCUUUCUUUGUCAUAUAUUGAGAUGGUAUAAUCAGCGUUAGAGUAUGCUGCAGAGUUUAAAUCUUAAUGACCCUCCUCACAAUAUUUCUAUUUGAGAAUAUUAGUGUACGAUUAUAAAAUAUGUAAUCAAUCUUACUGUAUAAAAGAGGAAAGAAAGAUGUGUUAUAAGGUGUGACCAUAGGUUUUGUUCUCUUUAACAAAAAAAAGGUGUGAAAUUGACAACAUGGUAUGUUUAUUAGAUAGGGCGGAACGUUUUAGCCAGGGCCGAAAGUAUAAAAUUUUCUCUUUGGGAGUUCUUCAAUGUAUAUGCUUUGCUUUUCUGUCCUUUCAGUCAAAUCUUGGCUUGUUUGGAAACAGUAAUCCCAGGGUUGGUCGCGUUUUUGUUCUUGGAUACCUUUUCUUUGCUUCUGUUUGUUUUAGUUAAUUCUUUUUGUUGGGCGAUCAAAUCCACCACCACUAACUAUAGUGCAUCACCUGGAAUUAUGUGGGUACUAUCCAAACAUUGUUCUGAUGGGUUAUUUCUUGGUUAAAAUAAAUAAUGAAGACAAGCCAAGCAUUGAUUUCCCUUUUAUCUUUGGUAAAGCAAGCACAUUUUGAUUUUUUUUCGUUGCGAAGAAUUGGCUAAUACUACAGUUAUAGUGGACGUCAUCUCUGCUUUUUGGCGCCGCGAAUUCUUCAACUGUUUUUGUGCAUGGCGCACCAUUGGGCGUGAACUGUGUCUUUCUUCUUCUUUUUAUUUCUCUUCUAUUCCUUUUCUAUUUUGUUACAUCUAAUAAAUACAAAUGGACCCUACCCAAGAAAAAUGUUAGAUCCUUUAAUCGAUUGCAGUUUUGAUUUCAUGAUAAUGCAUUGUGUUGGAUCAUUAAUUGAUGGUUGUGUUCUUUUGCAGAAUAUGCUUAUACUCUACAAGUAGAUGAGAAGAGUGAUAUUUAUAGUUAUGGAGUGGUGUUAAUGGAGAUUAUUAGCGGGAAAAGAUCAGUUGAUGCUGAGUUUGGGGAUGGUAAUAGCAUUGUGGAUUGGGUAAGGUCUAAGAUCAAGACUAAGGAUGGUAUCAAUGACAUUUUGGACAAAAACGCUGGGGCAUCUAUAGCAUCCGUGAGGGAGGAAAUGAUGCAAAUGCUUAGAAUUGCACUUCUAUGCACUAGCCGGAAUCCGGCGGACCGACCCUCGAUGAGGGAUGUUGUCUUGAUGCUGCAAGAAGCCAAGCCUAAGAGGAAAUUGCCUGCAAGUGUAGUUAGCGGUGGAGUUGGGGUUGGUGAUAACUUAGUUACUGGCGCUGGUGCUAUUGCACAAAAGCCUGCUGUGGAAUAUUAAUAUGAUUAUUUUACAUUUACUGGCUUCAUCUUUUUUUUUUUAAAUAUUUCUUUUAUGUUAUUUUUCAAACGGUGGGGGAUUGGUAUAGAAGAAGUGAUUUUUCUUACUUUAUUUCUAAUGAAAAUAUCAAGUGUUCUUGUUCUAAUUUCUUUUGUGUUAAAUUGGGAUAUUAAAUUUUGUUAUUGCACAUAAAUUGGAGGUUAAGUUAUUUUAUAGCAUGGAAUAUAAAAU